AUGACGGUUCUGCGACUGCCAGAGAAGCUUUUGAAGGAUAUUGACAAGAACAGACGGCGUUUCCUUUGGGCGCAUGAUGAAGAGCUAUCGGGCGGCAAGUGCAAAAUCAACUGGAAAAUUGUUCGCUCUCCCACUCAAAAAGGCGGGCUAGGCAUAUAGGACCUCCAACUGUUUGGUAGGGCACUGCGCCUCCGAUGGCUCUGGCUGGAGUGGAUGCAGCCUGCCAGGCUAUGGAAAGCUUUCCCACUCCCGUGUGACAGCAAUGACAUGGCCCUCUUCGCUUGAGCCACGAGGAUCACCAUUGGAAACGGGAAGACAACCAAAUUCUGGACAUGCCGCUGGCUGGGAGAGGAACCGCUCCGCCAAACCUUCCCUCUGCCGUUCAAACGAUCCAGGGGCAAGUUCAAAACCGCAUCUAAGGCUCUACAAAAUGAAAACUGGACCCACAACCUUGGUAAUGGGAGAUGGGAAGAUAUAAUCCACGACGUACUGAUGUUGGCGCGCAAGAUCAGGGAGCAUGGUGGCCUGGGGAAUUAG
rnacentral:rRNA from 1 species